UCUGGUUUAACAUAUAUUAGUUUAAUGUGAAAAAUUGUAAAUUUUUUUAAGGCAGUGUUGUGCUGGCCAGGA
rnacentral:tRNA from 1 species